rnacentral:lncRNA from 1 species
CAGUGAGGGGUAUCUGUCUGACUUCUCGGCGAUUUUUACGAUCUAACUUCGAGAUAAAACCCCUAUCCAUUUGACAUCUAAAUGUCAUAGCGACUUUUGGGAUAGUUUGCUAUCGACAAAGGGAGACAAAGUCAAGGGGUGAAGGGAAAGGAGGGCCAAGUAGAGCCUCCACGACCCUCGGCUUCCUCCUCACCAGCUCCCCCUCCCUCCAAGUCCAGUAAGAAGUUGGGCCAAGCUGGAAGGGAUUGACCGGGUUGCUUGUCUGGAGAUGGAGCCACUACAGGCGGGCCUGGGCGCCUGGAGUCGGGCAUGAAAGAAAAUAGCGCCUCAUCGCUCUUAUCUAAGCCCAGAGGUCCAGGGGACAACCUGAGGGCCCUGAAGUGUUUCAAUACCAUGUACCAGCUUGACUUCUCUACAUGUCCUUUGGAUUGCCCAAAAGCAAAAUCUCAGAGGGGCCAAGGACCUUCUAGGGCUGGCUCCCUCAGGGCCUCCUAUAGAGCAGCUCCUUGAGUCGGGCCUUAUAGCCACCAGAAAGUCACCUCGCCGCAGGAAAGCUAUAAAGAGCUGCUCCAGAGGCGCCGAAAGAGGGUGAGGGCUGCAGCCACAGUGUUUGUCCCCAGCACCACCAGGCCCCUUAACCUCGUCAGCUCCUCUAGCCCUCGGCCAGACUCUGGCAACACCUUGGUUUGCCUGGCACCGCAGGCAAUUUCCUGGAACCCCACCCCCACCCAGGAACGGGGACCACAGCACCUUUAAAGGAACUGCCAGAGCUUCCUCCUACGGCUUGAAAGCCCAAGCUAAUCAGUAACCCGUGAGACAGGGGCCAAUAUUCAAACGCUGCAGCAGAGGCGCAUAGCCUAGCCCUGGCCACCCCCUCUUGGGAAGGAGGUCGAGUUAAGCCGGUGUGGAGGGUCCAACAGGAACGGAAAUUACGACGGUGUGGUUCCUUAAGGAUUUGGCCCCAGUCCCACUACCAAAUUUUUCCCAAAUCAUAUUUAGGUAGACUUCGCUUGAAAAGAUCGAGAAUGGAGGAGGGGAUCGGCACUCACUUGCAGACAUCAACAGUUUCCAGAAAAUUCGGUUCAAUUCCUUCACCACGGACCCACCAACCAAGGAGCUGGCAAAACCCACUAACCAACCAGGAGAACACAGACCCGGUUUGUCUUUUGACAACCGAGUGGAACUGACGGGGCCGGCGCCUGCCCUGCGGGUCCCCUCCCUUGGCUGAGAAGAAAACCAAAUAAACCUUGAACAGCCUUGGCUUCGGAUGUCUCAAGCGGCCUCAUCCUCUCCCGCGCCUUGGUGGGGUGGGGGUGGGGAUGGCGGUGGGGGUGUCGGCUCUGAUCCCUCCACCCUUUGAUUCAGGGCCCCUGCCCGCUGGAAGCAGAAUUAGACCUUUUUAUAUAUGCCCUAGAGGAAGCCGCUUCCCUUGCCAGCCGCCAGCCGUUUCCUCUCCCUCGCCGGCCUCGGCGGAGAUUCCAGGCCCUAUAGAAACCAGGACGUCCCUUAGCGCCACCGCCUCACAUGCCAGUGCUGCCGGGAACCCAGCGAUAUCCGCACCAGCGGAGAAGGUUCCAGGCUGCCGGCGGCGGCGCAGAGAGCGGGAAGAGAGGCUCGGAGGAAGCCCCGGGCGUGGCGUGGUCAGGCUCCGAGAGCGGCCGGGAUGCGGCCACACCGGCCUGGUAAACUCGCACCUCUUAGGAUCUUGCUCCCGGACUCAUUCCCUUCCCCACCCCCUAUUUUAAAGUUUUAUUUGGGUCGUCUGUAUCAAUUUAGAACGAGAUAAAUUAAGACAAAGAAAGUAAAAUAAAUCGAAAUAAAAUAUAGGAAUAGCUCUUGGCGAAAAUGUUUGCCGUGCGAGCAGGAAGCCGUGAGCGCCCUAGUUGGAGGCUGCUCUGCGCCGACUAAGAGGCCUCUACUCCCAGGCCUGGCCUCUACGCAACGCCACCCAAGAAGCCAGAGUGAAUUUGGGUGUUCAUUUUCCCUUUCCUUCCGCUCUUCCUUCAUGUGGGGCCUAGCAGCUUGGAUUUCAGCUCCGUCUUUGUGCCUGGGCUGCAGCCCAGAUCCAGAUCCCGCAGCUUGGUUUCCAGGCCUGAAUGAGGACGCGGGUUUGUGAAACUGUGAGGUUUUUGUUUUGUUGUUUUGUGAGCUUGUGUGACUAAGCAUGUGGGCUUCUGAGUGCGUUUACUUGGGGGCAAAUGUGAAUCUGUGUUUAUAAGCCAAUGUGUGAAUGUACGUUGGUAUCAAUGUGUCUGUGAGUGUGAAUGUGUGUUUACUUGUGAGCGUGUGUGAACAUGAAUGCCUA